rnacentral:rRNA from 1 species
CACGUAGGGCGCAAGCGUUGUCCGGAAUUAUUGGGCGUAAAGAGCUCGUAGGCGGUCUGUUGCGUCUGCUGUGAAAACCCGGGGCUUAACCCCUGGCUUGCAGUGGAUACGGACAGACUAGAGGUAGGUAGGGGAGAAUGGAAUUCCCGGUGUAGCAGUGAAAUGCGCAGAUAUCGGGAAGAACACCCGUGGCGAAGGCGGCUCUCUGGGACGGUACUGACGCUGAGACGCGAAAGCUAGGGGAGCAAACAGG